UACGAAGGGGGCUAGCGUUGUUCGGAAUUACUGGGCGUAAAGCGUGCGCAGGCGGUUCGUUGUGUCGGUGGUGAAAGCCCCGGGCUCAACCUGGGAAUGGCCAUGGAAACUGGCGAACUGGAGUGUGGCAGAGGGGGGUGGAAUUCCGCGUGUAGCAGUGAAAUGCGUAGAGAUGCGGAGGAACACCGAUGGCGAAGGCAGCCCCCUGGGCUAGCACUGACGCUCAGGCACGAAAGCGUGGGGAGCAAACAGG
rnacentral:rRNA from 1 species